UAGACAAUUGAUUCGGUUGUAGGUAAAAAAUUUUAUUGUAGCAUCCAACAAAGUCUGGAUACUAGAAGAAUAAUUUUUUUCAAUAUCAAAAGUUAUUUUUUAAAAUUUUUAAUUAUUUUUAAAAUUUUUAUAAUUUUUAUUUUUUAAAAAAUAUUGAUGAUGAAAAUAUUUUCAUCAUAAAUAAUCAACUAUUUAUGAUAAAA
rnacentral:lncRNA from 1 species